GACGAACGCUGGCGGCGUGCUUAACACAUGCAAGUCGAACGAGAGCGUAGAGAAAGCUUGCUUUUUCUACAAUCUAGUGGCAAACGGGUGAGUAACGCGUAAACAACCUGCCCUACGGAUGGGGACAACAGCUGGAAACGGCUGCUAAUACCGAAUACGUUCCGAAAGUCGCAUGACUACCGGAAGAAAGGAUGGCCUCUAUUUAUAAGCUAUCGCCGGAGGAGGGGUUUGCGUCUGAUUAGCUAGUUGGAGGGGUAACGGCCCACCAAGGCGACGAUCAGUAGCCGGUCUGAGAGGAUGGACGGCCACAUUGGAACUGAGACACGGUCCAGACUCCUACGGGAGGCAGCAGUGGGGAAUCUUCCGCAAUGGGCGAAAGCCUGACGGAGCAACGCCGCGUGAGUGAAGACGGCCUUCGGGUUGUAAAGCUCUGUUAUACGGGACGAAUAAUCUUGUGGUUAAUACCCAUGAGAAGUGACGGUACCGUAAGAGAAAGCCACGGCUAACUACGUG
rnacentral:rRNA from 1 species